AUCCCGUAGACGAACACUAGCUAAAUGAUACACCUGUUGAAAUUGAGACUAUGCUUAGGAGCACAUCAAUACUGCUUUUCUCAUCCAAGCUAAAGCACAGUUCAGACUUGUACAGCCUGUAGAACUUGUGCAAAUGGUAUUGUAACAGUUUGCCCGUUAUUGGCUGUUACGGUGGCAGUUGCCACUGUGACCAGCGUCUGGCCAGGCACAGGAGUUACGGACAUUGCUUCGGGAUUCAUGUUCUGCACAGGCACCGUAUUUACCACGGGCUGCUGGGAAACUCUUACUGGAGUUCCGUUGUCAGAGG